rnacentral:rRNA from 1 species
UGGUCAAGUUAUUAAGGGUGCAGGGCGGAUGCCUUGGCACUAGGAGCCGAUGAAGGACGUGAUAAGCUGCGAUAAGCUUCGGGGAGUUGCACGUAAACUUUGAUCCGAAGAUUUCCGAAUGAGGAAACUCACUUAGAGUAAUGUCUAAGUAUCAUUAAGUGAAUACAUAGCUUAAUGAGGGGAACUCAGGGAACUGAAACAUCUAAGUACCUGAAGGAAGAGAAAGAAAUUCGAUUCCGUAAGUAGCGGCGAGCGAACGCGGAUUAGCCCAAACCAAUAAAGUUUUCUUUAUUGGGGUUGCGGACAUAUCAUAACGAAGAGGUAUCGUAAUUGAAGAGGUUUGGAAAGACCCACCACAGAAGGUAAUAGUCCUGUAUGUUAAACGAGAAGACUUCAGAUAUGAUCC